rnacentral:rRNA from 1 species
CCUACGGGUUGUAAAACUGCUUUUGUACGGAACGAAACGGCGAGCUCUAAUACAGUUUGCUAAUGACGGUACCGUAAGAAUAAGCACCGGCUAACUACGUGCCAGCAGCCGCGGUAAUACGUAGGGUGCGAGCGUUAAUCGGAAUUACUGGGCGUAAAGCGUGCGCAGGCGGUGAUGUAAGACAGAUGUGAAAUCCCCGGGCUCAACCUGGGACCUGCAUUUGUGACUGCAUCGCUAGAGUACGGUAGAGGGGGAUGGAAUUCCGCGUGUAGCAGUGAAAUGCGUAGAUAUGCGGAGGAACACCGAUGGCGAAGGCAAUCCCCUGGACCUGUACUGACGCUCAUGCACGAAAGCGUGGGGAGCAAACAGGAUUAGAUACCCUGGUAGUCCACGCCCUAAACGAUGUCAACUGGUUGUUGGGUCUUCACUGACUCAGUAACGAAGCUAAACGCGUGAAGUUGACCGCCUGGGGAGUACGGCCGCAAGGUUGAAACUCAAAUGAAUUGACGG